rnacentral:rRNA from 1 species
AACGAACGCUGGCGGCAUGCCUAACACAUGCAAGUCGAACGAGACCUUCGGGUCUAGUGGCGCACGGGUGCGUAACGCGUGGGAACCUGCCCUUAGGUUCGGAAUAACUCCCCGAAAGGGGUGCUAAUACCGGAUAAUGUCCUCGGACCAAAGAUUUAUCGCCUUUGGAUGGGCCCGCGUUGGAUUAGCUAGUUGGUAGGGUAAAAGCCUACCAAGGCGACGAUCCAUAGCUGGUCUGAGAGGAUGAUCAGCCACACUGGGACUGAGACACGGCCCAGACUCCUACGGGAGGCAGCAGUGGGGAAUAUUGGACAAUGGGCGAAAGCCUGAUCCAGCAAUGCCGCGUGAGUGAUGAAGGCCUUAGGGUUGUAAAGCUCUUUUACCCGGGAUGAUAAUGACAGUACCGGGAGAAUAAGCUCCGGCCAACUCCGUG